GACAAAAGAAAUACGCCAUUUCCAGUUACAAUCACAUAUCUUUCACACAUUUUUGCACUUGUCGCGAUGAUCGAAGUUUCACCUGGCAAUUAAACGACUCGUUUUUUCGUAUAAAAAAGUUGUGAUGGACGACUACGAGGUGGUGCGUCCGAUCGGAGAGGGUGGUUUCGGAAAGGCCUUUCUCGUGCGAACCAAGGCUGACGGGAAUGACCCACCGUGUGUGGUCAAAAUGAUUAACCUCGCAAAGAUGUCAAGCAAGGAGAAGGAAGCCGCGAGGAAGGAGGUAGCCCUUUUGUCCAAAAUGGAACAUCCCAACAUUGUGACAUUCAUCCACUCCUUCCAAGACAGGGGCAGCCUGUGUAUCGUUAUGGAGUACUGCGACGGAGGCGAUCUGAUGAUGAAGAUCAACAUGCAGAGAGGAGUCUUCUUCACUGAGCAGCAGAUCCUGGCCUGGUUUGUUCAGAUCUGCCUGGGCCUCAAGCACAUCCAUGACAAAAAGAUCCUGCAUAGAGAUAUUAAAAGUCAGAACAUUUUCCUGAGUGAGCGAGGUGUUAAAGUCAAGCUAGGUGACUUUGGCAUCGCAAGGAUGUUGACUCACACUUUGGAGCUAGCCAGAACCUGUGUGGGGACCCCUCACUACCUCUCUCCGGAAAUCUGCGAGAGUCGACCCUACAACAAUAAAACGGACAUCUGGUCUCUGGGCUGCGUCCUCUAUGAACUCUGCACUCUGAAACAUCCAUUUGAGGGCAACAGUCUGAGUCAGCUGGUCAGUAAGAUCUGCAGGGGGCGCUUUAACCCCGUGCCUGCACGUUACUCCUACGAUCUUCGCAUGCUCGUGGCGCAACUCUUCAAGGUGAAUCCCCGCGACCGUCCCUCCGUCAGCUCUUUGCUGGAGCGUCCUUUCUUGAACAAACACGCUCAGGAGUUUCGUCCAAAUAGCAACACAUCGAGCACUAACACCUGCAAAGCAACAUCAGACAACAAGACAAAUUGCAAAGCGGCUGUGAAGAAACUUCCCGUCAAGCCAGAGUGGAGGGUCUGCGGCCUUGCUUAUUACCCGCCCCACAGAGCAGGACACCUUCCUCAGCCUGCAGCAGGAGACACCACGCGGGAUCACCACCAAAAGAUUGGACAGUACCAGCAAUAUUUUGCCCGGUUGGAUGCCCUCCACAGGGGGGACGUUUAUCCUCCUCCAGCUCUUCAUCCUCCUCUUCCUCCCAGUGAGCCAUGUGAAGACUACGUGGUCCCUCCGGUCGAACCUUACCAGCUUGUGGCCGCAGCUCGUGAAGAAUACCUUCAAAGGAGACAGGAAGCCAACCAAUACAAGCUGAGGGCAGAGAAACAGUUGGGUCUGCGACCCAGUACGGCGGAGAGCUGCAGACCGGCCGACGGAUCGGAAGGCCACAUGGACUCGCGUGAGCCGCAGCACACACCUGCUGGCAAGAAACAGGACCAACAGGUGGAGUACUUGAGGCAGCUGCAGCUCAUCCGACAACAAUAUCAUCAGGAGAUGAAACAGAUGAGAUUGAGAGCUGAGGCAGAGGCAUUUGUUGAUCAGCCGCCACAACAACACAACACGUUUGUGCUGGACAAAGAAGCACAACCUUCCACUACACAAACCGAAAAACAAGAGCAACCAGUGCAGGACGUGGAAGCGGCUUUGAGGAAGAUCAGGGAAGAGAACCGAAAACAAAGGAGGGAACGUAAGAAGGAACACAAGAACCAGAAGGGAAUCAUGUUUGAGAUCCGUCUCGACGACGCAAAGGAUUCCUCGGAGGAGGAAGACGAAGAGACAGCAGAGGAGGAGAGAAAAUUGGAGGUGGACCUUCAGAAUCAGACAGUUCAUUUGCAGGAGGGCGAGGACAUAAAGGUCGAGGGUUGGGCCAAGCCGAGGAGGGGAUGGAGCCAGGGACCACCGGAGACGCUGAUGGAGGCUCUGGUCCACAUAGACGUGGACUCUGGUGCGACGCUGGAACUUCAACCAUGUGAGAAGAAGGAGGAGGAAGAAGAAGUCGCUCGUCGGCAGUGGAUCUCCGGUCCCCCCAAGACCUUACUGCAUGCCAUGGCCCAAGCCAAUCUCACAUGCUCCACUGUGGACUCGCAGGGUGCAGCCCCUGAAGGGAUGGAAGACCAGGACAAAGACUCAGAUGUCGAGAUGGACCAGGAGCGCCUGGAGCCCAGGUCGGACGAUGAUGACACGAACUUUGAGGAGUCAGAUGAUGAUCUGAGGGAGGCUCUGUCCGACUCCAUGAGGAACCUAUUUGUCACAGAGGACGACACAGAUGUGGAGACGAAAAAUCUUGAAGGAACGGUGCCACUGGAUGGUGGUGACCCGGGAGAAUCCAGGACAUGAGAUACCCACAAACUUAUUGAACUGAGUAUUUUUUUUUCGGAGUGUUCUAUUUCAAAAAGCCGCAAAACCAUCCAAGGUGGUCUCCUCACUGCCAUUAAAAUCCUUACAGCUCAUACAGAAGCUCACAAGUGUGUUGUUUACGUCGGUGUCUUCAGCUCUUUUGAAAGAUGAGCCGCAAUUGCUUUGCACUCAUGUUGUCAGACAUUUGAUCCAGGUCCGGUUUGGAUCUAGAUUUUAUCAAUCCGAUUUGGAUCCAGAUUUUAUCAGUCUGAUUCGGAUCUCCAGCUGGAGACACCUUUAAUGAAGACCACCAGCACUACGCAGCUCCGUCUUGGCGUCCAGCAGAGACCAGGAGAAUCCCGAUGUGAUGAUGUCAGCGUGUGAUGCCCUCAGUGAGUGUCAAACGGUAACCGUUGAUCUCCAGUGCGACGCAAGCAAAACUCCGGCGCUGUUUCCCA